UACGUAGGGUGCAAGCGUUGUUCGGAAUCACUGGGCGUAAAGGGAGCGUAGGCGGAACCGUAAGUUGGAAGUUUAAUAUCCAGGCUUAACCUGGAGCUUGCUUCCAAUACUGCGGUACUUGAGUAUGGAAGAGGGAGAUGGAAUUCCAGGUGUAGCGGUGGAAUGCGUAGAUAUCUGGAAGAACACCAGUAGCGAAGGCGAUCUCCUGGUCCUUUACUGACGCUGAGGCUCGAAAGCUAGGGGAG
rnacentral:rRNA from 1 species